rnacentral:lncRNA from 1 species
UGCAAAAGAAAAUAAGAAAAAAGAAAGAAGGAAUUCUUCAGCUUUCUCCCUCGUCUCCCUUCUACUCGGCUUCAGCUCCCCCUCCCUUUUUAUAGGCGACAAAUGCCUUUAACUUCCUUUAUUUUAUUAUUUAAACUAUUUUUUUAUAUUAUCACCUAGAGGAAUGUGAUAGUCAUGGUGGCAACUUUCACCUAUGAAUAUCACACUUUGUCAUUUAUUAUUAUUUUUUACAUUUUUGAGAUAUUUAUUUUUUAUUAAUUACAUCUCUUCAAUAAUGCAUUCCAAAUUGCUCCAGUAAUUAUUCUUUGUUCCCGCAUCCAGUUCCAACUCCUCUUUAUUCUUGAAAUAUAUCUACAAUAUAAAAUUAAAACAAAAUUAACAUAUUACAAAUUAAUUUAACAUAAAAAAGGGAGUGUUAAGAUAAUUUAGAAAUAAUGAGCGCAUUUAUGAACACGAUAAGUGAAAUUUUGAUAAUUUUAUCCUUAUUAAAUGUAGACUUUUUAGUGUCAAUUAAUAAUUAUAACAUAAUUACACAAUCCAAAAUGAGAUGAUCAAAAUACCCUAAUAAUAUGAUCCAUGCCUCCUAGCACCAUUAAAUGGCCGAAACUUCAAAUAAAUACAUCACAAUGUCGACAUCAACUACUAUACUUGCAACCUUCUGUGGAUGGGAAAAAUAUAGUAUAUCAGGUGAGUAUAAAACUCAGUAAGUGGCUAAUAGGUUUUAAAAAUAAAUUUUCUUUAAAAUAAUUAUAUUAUUAUGAUAUACAAUUUCAUCAAACUAUAUGUAAAAACAGAAAUAAAAUGUUUAAACGUUAAAUCAAGUAAUUAGCAUUAAAAAGCAAUACAUGAUAUUGUACAUAAUGAUAAUGAAAAUCAUAUCAUAAGAACAUAUAUAUAUCUCAAAUUGUCACUAUACAAUUACCCAAGGGAGCAAUCUCACCAUAUUCGAACCUCAUACGAGUGGUUUAAUGGCAUAUAAAUUAUGUAUUGUCAUGCCCAAAACUACAAUGGGUAGACCAAUUUCAUGCCAUCUCAUAUAUCUCAUCAUAACUCAUCGCACAAAAUGGGUAAAAUAGCCCUUAAAGGGCAAAAAGAGUCCAAGUACAUGGCCGAAAGCUUUGUGUGUUCUCAAAUGAGUCCCAAAGUUCUCUACUCAACUAUAUCUCUAUACCAUAUCUUUGUAACUGUAUAUUUGUUAACUGUAUCUCUAUACUCAUCACUGUAUCCAAAGAAAAAGCCCGUUGUAUAAUUGUUUUGACAUUACUUUGUAAACAUACUUUACUUUGUAAAUUGUGAUUUAAAUUUUGUUAAUUAAUUUAUUUUUAUUUAUAUGAUCGGUUCUACUGCCUAACAUUUUAAUUUCAGUUUAAUUAUUCUUGUACAUUAAUUCGUAUUGUUUAGGGAUAAAUAGAGUAUUGAAAAUGAAGCGCUACGUGUCGAUGCAAAGGUUAUGUAAUUAUUAGUUAUCCUCCGGGGUACCCAACCUAUCCCAUAAAAUUCGGUACCCGGGGUACUCGAGAUACCCGACUUACACUAUAAACUCGAUACCCGAGGUAACCGACCUAUACUAUAAACUCAGUGCUCGAGAUACCCGGCCUAAACUAUAAACUCGGUACCCGAGGUACUCGACCGACACUAUUAGCUCGGUACCUAAGAUACUCAGCCUACACAAUAAACUCAGCACCUGAGAUACUCGACUUACACUAUAAACACGGUAUCCGAGGUACCCGACCUACACCAUUAGUCGGCACCCGGGGUACCUGACCUACCCCACAAAACUCAGUACCUGGGGUACACCGAGCAAGGACAAAAAGGUAAGGAAAAAUGUUCGUAAAAUAUAAAGAGAUAGAUGGGCUCCAAAUCUCAAAAUGAUCGGCUGAACACGUGUCAAAAAGUAAGGAAUCGGUGAGGAAAUCUCGUGCUACAAAAGAGGAGACAGCCGCCCGUCACGCCAGCGAAUCCGCCAAAAGUGUGAUAUUGUGACAGUUGGGACCACCAGCUUUUCCUGCUACGCCUGCGAAAUUACAACGGAAUUGCAGAGGUACGCGGGACCACUCCACUACGCCCAGCACGUGAAUACGCCACAAACUUGCUCUCCACGCAUAUUUUUGAAAUGCCAAAGCCGCCAUACGCAUGAAAAUAAGAAUAUUUCUGACAUGACAGCAGGGAACACCACUAAAAUAGCGCCAUGUGGCAUGGCGACCGGGGUACACCAUAUAAAUACUCAGGUUUGAUUUUUAUCAAAGGAGUGAACACACUCACCACGAAAAGAAAACGAGGGUUUCUUCAACCUCAAAACCUCCAUUACCAAGAGCUUGCAAGCUCUCUAACCUGAGAUAACCCGACUCUGACUUGAGCGUCAGAGUGUGGUCGCCGGCCACCCCCGGCUCCACCUCUGACCUCGUUUUUGGUUGUUUCGCAGGUUUAAGGCGAGUUUCACCAGCCCUCCACACCUGAAGUUAGACCCCCUCCAUAUCUACCGUCAUCUCAAUCCUCCUUCACUCCACAAAAAGCCUGAACAGCUCGCACGUGCCGAACAAGCGAGGUACCCCGCUCCUCGACAAAAAUAUAAAUUUAUUGCUCUUGGGUUGGUUUUGUGGUUUUUUAUUCAUUGACCCAAAAUCAGCCGCAAACAAUUGGCACCGUUUGUGGGGAGUCGCACAAAAAGCCUUCUCCGCGGUUACCAAACUAGUUGUUGUGUGUACUCCAAUACAUGGCACCCGACGUACCUCCCGAAGGUUUAAUGGGGGAUCCUACAAGGAUGAGAGAUGAUGGCAGCAAUGAAGGUAGUGAUCUUACAAGAAGGGUAGCCCGCAUCAACAAGGGAAAGGGUAUCAAGCAAUCGACGGGUGUUCGCCAAGAGGAGGAACCUAUUUCUCACAAGCGUUUCGAGGAUCUUGCCCACAGAAUACUUAGGGCGGUUGGAUCUCGGGCACCCUAAAGUUCACUUCCACCAGUGACGCUAGAUGCUCCACCACCUCAAACGAGCGACCAAGCUAUGGUAAAAAAAGAGGUACCCGAGGCCAGCAAACCAAAGCAUAGGCCAUCGGGUAGCCGUUCUAAUUUUCAAACCGUGGGCUCCCGCGACAAGCGUUUCACCGCCUCUUGCAAUUCCCGCAGCAGCCAGGGUACGAGGCGUGCAAAGCGUACCCACAAAGAUCUCCGUGAGAAGUUAAACGCCAAAAGGGCUUCUCAAAUGGCGGCGACAUCAUCGGGUACACCGAGGGUACCCCUCGAACUUGUGGAAAAGAUGGAAAACCUGGAAGCCCAAGUGAAGCUCCUCUCCGAGAAGCAAAACAUCACAGCUGCUCCAACGCCGAUGACCUACCAAUCACCAUUCACUAUGGAGAUUCGAACGGCAGCUCUUCCCGAAGCAUUCACCAUGCCUCAGAUACCCCAAUACUCGGGUACCACUGAUCCCUUGGAGCAUGCUGAGCUAUACCAUGACCAAAUGCUUAUCAAGGGUGUAGAUGAGAGUGCCAUGUGUAGGAUAUUUACACACACACUCACGGGCCCCGCAAAGUCCUAGUUUCGCUCUUUGAAAGCGGGUAGCAUAUCUUCUCUACACCAAUUGUUAUCCGAAUUUUCUAAAGAGUUUUCUUACGCUUCCACUCAAGAUAGGGUAGCCUCCAAACUUGCCCUUAUCAAGCAAGGAGAAGCCGAAGAGGACGGAAGACCCAAUACCAAGGGUACUCCGAAUGCGGAGCCCGCCACGGGUUGCCCCGCGGGGACGAGUGUUUAACACUCAGGGUAUCUCACGGGUACCCCAACCUCCAAGAUCGCCACCACCAGAGCAGCAAGAGUCACCACCGAGGCUUCAGUGGUAGGGUACCCCAUAACUAGUUACUCUAGAGUUAUGCGGGGUACCCCACGGGGACCAGAUUAAGCCUGUUCCCGGGCGUUGCAGCAAGUGCAGUUAUGCGGGGGUACCCCACGGGGAACAAAUUAAGCCCAAAUGUGAAUUGGAGGCACCUUUGGAUCCUCGAAUACCCAAAGAUGAAAAAUGGGGUACCCCGGUUGAAGACUCGGUUUCAGUCUCGAUUUGGGCCACCAAUCCAACAAAGAAAAAUCAUACUACUAGUAAAAGUAUUGUUUAUUAUGAUGCAAGAGGGUAUCCAGAGAUCACCUUACUCCAGGGUACCCGAGGUACCUGACCUAUCUCCAAUUAUGAUAAUCUACUCAACAUCAUAGCCGCCUUUAUCAUUAUUUGUUCGCUAUAUUUGAUUUUGAGCGAAUGGUCGAUCAUGAGGUUUUAAUC